CCGGAGAUGGCAGAGCGGUCAAUUGCACCUGACUGUAAAUCAGGCACCCUCAGGGUUACGGAGGUUCAAAUCCUUCUCUCCGGA
rnacentral:tRNA from 1 species